rnacentral:rRNA from 1 species
CCUACGGGUUGCAGCAGUAGGGAAUCUUCGGCAAUGGACGAAAGUCUGACCGAGCAACGCCGCGUGAGUGAAGAAGGUUUUCGGAUUGUAAAACUCUGUUGUUAGAGAAGAACAAGCAGGAGAGUAACUGCUCUUACCUUGACGGUAUCUAACCAGAAAGCCACGGCUAACUGCGUGCCAGCAGCCGCGGUAAUACGUAGGUGGCAAGCGUUGUCCGGAUUUAUUGGGCGUAAAGCGAGCGCAGGCGGUCUUUUAAGUCUGAUGUGAAAGCCCUCGGCUCAACCGAGGAAAGUCAUUGGAAACUGGAGGACUUGAGUGCAGAAGAGGAGAGUGGAAUUCCAUGUGUAGCGGUGAAAUGCGUAGAUAUAUGGAGGAACACCAGUGGCGAUGGCGACUCUCUGGUCUGUAACUGACGCUGAGGCUCGAAAGCGUGGGGAGCAAACAGGAUUAGAUACCCUAGUAGUC